rnacentral:rRNA from 1 species
AGUGAACGCUGGCGGUAGGCCUAACACAUGCAAGUCGAACGGCAGCACAGUAAGAGCUUGCUCUUACGGGUGGCGAGUGGCGGACGGGUGAGGAAUACAUCGGAAUCUACUUUUUUGUGGGGGAUAACGUAGGGAAACUUACGCUAAUACCGCAUACGACCUACGGGUGAAAGCAGGGGAUCUUCGGACCUUGCGCGAUUGAAUGAGCCGAUGUCGGAUUAGCUAGUUGGCGGGGUAAAGGCCCACCAAGGCGACGAUCCGUAGCUGGUCUGAGAGGAUUAUCAGCCACACUGGAACUGAGACACGGUCCAGACUCCUACGGGAGGCAGCAGUGGGGAAUAUUGGACAAUGGGCGCAAGCCUGAUCCAGCCAUACCGCGCGGGUGAAGAAGGCCUUCGGGUUGUAAAGCCCUUUUGUUGGGAAAGAAAAGCAGCAGGUUAAUACCCCGCUGUUCUGACGGUACCCAAAGAAUAAGCACCGGCUAACUUCGUG